CCUACGGGGGGCUGCAGUGAGGAAUAUUGGUCAAUGGACGAGAGUCUGAACCAGCCAAGUAGCGUGAAGGAUGACUGCCCUAUGGGUUGUAAACUUCUUUUAUAUGGGAAUAAAACGUUCCACGUGUGGGAUUUUGUAUGUACCAUAUGAAUAAGGAUCGGCUAACUCCGUGCCAGCAGCCGCGGUAAUACGGAGGAUCCGAGCGUUAUCCGGAUUUAUUGGGUUUAAAGGGAGCGUAGGUGGAUUGUUAAGUCAGUUGUGAAAGUUUGCGGCUCAACCGUAAAAUUGCAGUUGAAACUGGCAGUCUUGAGUACAGUAGAGGUGGGCGGAAUUCGUGGUGUAGCGGUGAAAUGCUUAGAUACCACGAAGAACUCCGAUUGCGAAGGCAGUUCACUGGACUGCAACUGACACUGAGGCUCGAAAGUGUGGGUAUCAAACAGGAUUAGAUACCCGGGUAGUC
rnacentral:rRNA from 1 species